UUCGAUUCUGGCUCAGGACGAACGCUGGCGGCACGCUUAACACAUGCAAGUCGAACGGAGUUAUCGAGAGCUUGCUUUUGAUAACUUAGUGGCGGACGGGUGAGUAACACGUGAGCAAUCUGCCCUUAAGAGGGGGAUAGCAGUUGGAAACGACUGAUAAUACCGCAUAAGAUAGUAGUACCGCAUGGUACAGCUAUAAAAGAUUUAUCGCUUAAGGAUGAGCUCGCGUCUGAUUAGCUAGUUGGUGAGGUAACGGCUCACCAAGGCAACGAUCAGUAGCCGGACUGAGAGGUUGGACGGCCACAUUGGGACUGAGACACGGCCCAGACUCCUACGGGAGGCAGCAGUGGGGAAUAUUGCACAAUGGAGGAAACUCUGAUGCAGCGAUGCCGCGUGAGGGAAGAAGGUUUUAGGAUUGUAAACCUCUGUUGACAGGGACGAUAAUGACGGUACCUGUUGAGGAAGCUCCGGCUAACUACGUGCCAGCCGCCGC
rnacentral:rRNA from 1 species